GGCCUGGUAGUCUAGUGGUCAGGACGUGGGAUUCUGAAAUAGAAAUCACCUUGAUCUCUUCAUAAGAAUCUUCCCGAAACCCCGGUUCGAUCCCGGGCCGGGCCU